GACGAACGCUGGCGGCGUGCCUAAUACAUGCAAGUCGAACGCAGUGGGGACGGGUGAGUAACACGUGGGUAACCUCCCAUCAGAGGGGAUAACACUUGGAAACAGGUGCUAAACCGAUACUGAUGGAUGAACCCGCGGGGGAUUAGCUAGUUGGUGAGGUAACGGCUCACCAAGGCGACGAUGCAUAGCCGGCCUGAGAGGAUGACCGGCCACACUGGGACUGAGACACGGCCCAGACUCCUACGGGAGGCAGCAGUAGGGAAUCUUGGGCAAUGGACGAAAGUCUGACCGAGCAACGCCGCGUGUGUGAAGAAGGUUUUCGGGUUGUAAAACUCUGUUGUUAGAGAAGCGGUAUCUAACGAGAAAGCACCGGCUAACUACGUGCCAGCAGCCGCGGUAAUUC
rnacentral:rRNA from 1 species